GCCGGGGUGGUGGAAUGGUAGACACGAAGGACUUAAAAUCCUUUGGCCUUAACAGCCGUGCGGGUUCGAUCCCCGCCUCCGGCA
rnacentral:tRNA from 1 species